GCCAACAAGGUUAGCAACCUGCAUAAUGAAUUGUUAAAAAAAUUUUGUGCGCCAACUCAAGGAAUACAUCUUCGAUAUUUUGUUUCUCUAUUGAGAGAAACAAGAGAGGUAAAGAAUCUGCAAAUCCUUGAAACUUAAUUACAUAUAUUUUAUUGUAGCAUACGCUUGUUCUCAAGUCUAAACAGCAAAAAGCAGCGUCAUUCCAGAAUUUUGAUAUUUGGCAACAAUAAUUUCAGAUGAAAAAAAACAAUUUGUAUGUUAUGAUUCCAAAUAUGACAUAAGUAAUGCAAAGUUCAAUUGGCUCCUAUUUACAAUAAAAUUUUGCUCAGGUUCUUUGAUGUAACUAACUAUUUGAAAUGAAACAGCUAUUUAUAAACGGUUUGUCCAUGUCUCCUUUAAGUCAAACAUCUAAUAAGACCACUUCUAACUAGUAAAAAAUGCAGCUAGAGCUAAGGUUCAAGUUUUAG
rnacentral:misc_RNA from 1 species